UAUUUUUUGCCUAAGAGUUAUCAAAUUGAAACAUCAUAUGUAUCAUGGAGGGUAUUGUAGUUCACAAUAACAGUUAAAAAAUUAUAAGGUAGAAGACCCAUAAUGAAAUCGGCAAUCUUCGACAAUUACCGCCAUAUCUCGCCAUUUAUCGUAACGAACUUCGUUUGUUUACGUAUAAAGUCGGAAUUCUAAUAAUAGCGAAUAUCCCCGGUCACGUGGUAGUAUUCCCCAAGAAAAUGACGUAAUUUCCGCAGAUAUCUAACAUGGCGUCUUACAGCGUGAUACGCUCGGUCGAUUCAAAAAAAGUGUAAAAAGAUGCAGAAAACUCAAGUAUUCCGACUUUAUUAUAGAACAUAACUAUAGUGCAGGUAACCAGUAUUACGUGUCAACCAAACCAGCUCUACAAGACAUCAACUCUUCCUAAAUCGGUUGAUAAUGAGGGUUGGAAAGAGGGAAGAAGAAUCGUUGAGUUUGGCGUGUUACGGUCAAACCUAAGAUUUUGUAAAAAAUGUAGACUUGGACCAGUUGGCUACCAUUAACAGCACUGAUUAACUUUUGACAACAUGUUAGGUGAAUUUAAACAGGGAGUGUCUGGUUAUUUGUAUGUGAAAUGUCGAAACACAGAAUGCGGUCAUGUGAAUUGUGUUCCCUAUGGAAAAACACACAGACUCUAGUAGAUUGAAGACCUGUGAAAGUUGGAAUGCCAUGGUUCGUUGUCAACACAAAAUUAGGAACAGCAAUGAUUGAUAGUGUAGGUGGGCCGGUGAGGGUCAACAAUUUGUUGUCAACACUAAAUAUACCAACAAUUGGAAAUAAAAACAUGAAAAGAAAUGGAGAGACGUGUUGGAAAUAUCAUUGAGACAGCACUGGCUUCUAUGCCGACAUAAUCUGCUGCAUAAGAUCAAGGAAAUGGAGGAUGUGCAUCAUGAAGAACCAAUGGUAUCAGAACACAACAUCAUGGAAGAUCUUAUUGACAAGAUCUCGGAGGAUGUCCUUUGCCAGAUGUUUGCCAGCACUAAAGUCUAUUCAUCAGUCAAAUGCUACAGUUACAAAUGACAGUGAAUGGUCAGAUUUAUACAAUUGUGAUUAACAAUCCUCAACAAUACAUCAAACAAAAAUGCCUAUUAAACUUUCUCACAGACAGUCAAAGGUUGAAAACAAAUCAGAAGUGGUCCACAUCUUAAAAAACCUCACAGCAGAUUAAGACUUUCCCCGAAAUUUCCCUGUAAAACCCGCAGUGGUAUGUCCAGUGCAGUAGAUACUGCCUGGCACAAAAGAGGAUUUGACAGUUUAACAUUGUACUGCACCAAUAAACUAAAUAUGGAGAGAAGCUUAGUCACCAAAGCAGUCAACACCAAAAUACACACAAUGGCCAGGGCACUGAAACUUGGAAGAGUGAAAGAGUAAAGUAGUGCGUUUUUAGCUAACAAAGUGACAUUGCGAGCUUUUGUCUAUCUUUCGUCCGUAAACUUGAUCUUUAAACAACAUCUCAUAAAUUGCCAAGCCAAUUUCAUGCAAACUUACGAUAUUGUCUAGUCUGUUUUUGUUUUGCUUGCAAUCGUUAUAUGACAUGACUAAAGACAUUUUGUUUUAUUCUUAAGUUAUUAUGUUUAUGUUUGUAUAAGACCCAAAUAUAUUGUUAAGAUUCAUUUUUACAAAUUUGAAAGCCAUUAUUGUUCUAGUCAGUUUUUGUUUUGCUUGCAAUCAUUAUAUUACAUGGCUAAAGACAAUUAGUUUUAAUCUUUAAUAGUUAUGUCUAUAUUUGUAUAAGACCCAAAAAUAUUGUUAAGAUUCAUUUUUACAAUUUUGAAAGCCAUUAUUGCUCUAGUUUGU